rnacentral:rRNA from 1 species
GUAAGGAAUAUUGGUCAAUGGACGCAAGUCUGAACCAGCCAUGCCGCGUGAAGGAUGAAGGUCCUCUGGAUUGUAAACUUCUUUUAUUUGGGAAGAAAUCCACGGUUUCUACUGUGGUUGACGGUACCAGAUGAAUAAGCACCGGCUAACUCCGUGCCAGCAGCCGCGGUAAUACGGAGGGUGCAAGCGUUAUCCGGAUUCACUGGGUUUAAAGGGUGCGUAGGCGGGCAGGUAAGUCAGUGGUGAAAUCCCCGAGCUUAACUUGGGAACUGCCGUUGAUACUAUCUGUCUUGAAUACUGUGGAGGUAAGCGGAAUAUGUCAUGUAGCGGUGAAAUGCUUAGAUAUGACAUAGAACACCGAUUGCGAAGGCAGCUUGCUACACAGUGAUUGACGCUGAGGCACGAAAGCGUGGGGAUCAAACAGGAUUAGAAACCCUAGUAGUCC